rnacentral:rRNA from 1 species
AGUGAACGCUGGCGGUAGGCCUAACACAUGCAAGUCGAACGGAAGCACAGUAAGCGCUUGCUCUUACGGGUGGCGAGUGGCGGACGGGUGAGGAAUACAUCGGCAUCUACUUUUUCGUGGGGGAUAACGUAGGGAAACUUACGCUAAUACCGCAUACGACCUACGGGUGAAAGCAGGGGAUCUUCGGACCUUGCGCGAUUGAUUGAGCCGAUGUCGGAUUAGCUAGUUGGCGGGGUAAAGGCCCACCAAGGCGACGAUCCGUAGCUGGUCUGAGAGGAUGAUCAGCCACACUGGAACUGAGACACGGUCCAGACUCCUACGGGAGGCAGCAGUGGGGAAUAUUGGACAAUGGGCGCAAGCCUGAUCCAGCCAUGCCGCGUGGGUGAAGAAGGCCUUCGGGUUGUAAAGCCCUUUUGUUGGGAAAGAAAAGCAGCAGGUGAAUACCCCGCUGUUCUGACGGUACCCAAAGAAUAAGCACCGGCUAACUUCGUG